rnacentral:rRNA from 1 species
ACGGAGGGUGCGAGCGUUGUUCGGAUUGACUGGGCGUAAAGGGCGUGUAGGCGGUCGGUCAAGUCCGAUGUGAAAGCCCGGAGCUCAGCUCCGGAAGUGCAUCGGAAACUAGCUGGCUGGAGCGCGAUAGAGGAGGGUGGAAUUCCUGGUGUAGCGGUGAAAUGCGUAGAUAUCAGGAGGAACACCGGCGGCGAAGGCGGCCCUCUGGAUCGUUGCUGACGCUGAGACGCGAAAGCGUGGGGAGCAAACAGGA